UACGUAGGGUGCAAGCGUUAAUCGGAAUUACUGGGCGUAAAGCGUGCGCAGGCGGCUUUGCAAGACAGAUGUGAAAUCCCGGGGCUCAACCUGGGAACUGCAUUUGUGACUGUGAGGCUGGAGUACGGCAGAGGGGGAUGGAAUUCCGCGUGUAGCAGUGAAAUGCGUAGAUAUGCGGAGGAACACCGAUGGCGAAGGCAAUCCCCUGGGCCUGUACUGACGCUCAUGCACGAAAGCGUGGGGAGCAAACAGGA
rnacentral:rRNA from 1 species